GCCUGGUGUAGUGGAGCACACUUGUAAUCACAGCUACCAGGAGGCUAAAGCUGGCAGAUCUCUUGAGCUCUGAGUUCUGAGCUGCAGUGGGCUAUGCUGAUUGGGUGCACACAUUAAGUCUGGUAUUAAUACAGUGAACCUCCAGAAGCAGGGGGACACCGGGUUGCUAAAGGAGGAACAAACAGGUCAGAAACAAAGCAGGUCCAAACUUCUGUGCCAAUAAGUAGUCAGACUGGGUCUGCGAGUGGACCUUACACUUCAAGCAUAGGUAAGACAGGGAGACCCAGUCUUAG
rnacentral:SRP_RNA from 1 species